GGCACCUUUUUGGAGUCUGAAAGAAUAAUAGAAUUGUUCAUGCCAUGAGCCUUAACAAAUAAAAUUGCUUCAAGAAUGGCAAUUGAUUCCCCAGUGAAAACAGAAGUGAUAGAUGGGCAGCUGUAACUGAGUAUAAUUCUUGUUGAAGGAAUCCAUGCUGCAGCACCAACAGGGCUCAUGUCUGUUUUUGAAGCAUCAGUGUAGAUUUUAUGCCAAUUUUGAAAAUCAGAGUACAUUAUCUGAGAAAAAGUUUUAUUGGCUUCUAUGGAAAACUUAUCUAUACCUAAGUUUAAAAUUACAGAUGGUUGGAAAGUGAGUGCACUAAAAGGCAUAGUAGAUAGAGGCAAUUUAGAAUUCUAUUCUAUGGAAUGGAAUUCCCGUAUUUCCUCUUCCAAUAGGAAGAGGGGGUAAGAGAGGUGAGAGAAUAAUAAGUAACUGUGGAGAAUUCAGGGUCUUUUGUCUUCAGGAAUAUUAUUAUUAUUGUAUAAAGCAAAUAGUUGGUCCAAUUUUGGAAGCAAGGGAUGUCCACAACAUUCAGCUAAUUUGAGAAAAAAUUUAUUGGCAAGAAAUUGACGGCGAAGUGAAAGGGGAGGUUCCACACACUCUACUUGCAUGGCAUUAAUUGGGCUAGAUUUCAUGGCUCCUAAUAUUAUGCGUAAGCAUUUAGCCUGAAUUUUGUCCAGUUUAUUCAGACCUGCUUUAUUUCCUGGGAUCAACAACAUAGUGCCGUAAUCCAUGUGGCUGCGAAUGAUUGCAUUGUACAAUAAUUUUUGACUGAAGGGGUGAGCUCCCCACCAGACACCAGAUACAGAGUGCAGGAUAUUAAUGUCUUUCUCACAUUUCUGUGAGACAUAAUCAAAAUGCUUUAUGCCUGAUAAUUUUUGAUCUAACCAAAUCCCUAGUAAUUUAACAUUGGUAACAACAGCAGUUGAUAGUGACAACCCAUGUUGCAUUAAAUAAUCAGCAAGAUAUUCAAGUGCACAAUUUAACUGAUUGGAUGAAUCCUGUAUGGACUUGUUGGAAGUAUACAGAACAAUAUCAUCUGCAUAUUGCCGUAUUUGGCAGAAGGGGGAUACAGAGCUAUUGAGGUCAUAUGUAUACAGAUUGUAGAGAAGGGGACUAAGGACUGAGCCUUGAGAAACUUUUGCAAGAGUAGAAGAGAGGGCAAUUGGUCUAUAACUUGUGGCUUCAGAUGGAUUCUGACCAGGUUUAAGAAUUGGUAUUAUUACCUGAUUUUUCCAGGGUGGAGGGAUGACCCCAAAAUCAAAAAGGUUAUUUAUAAUAUCUAGGUAAUAUUUCUUGGAUGUAGGUGAUGAGUUUUUGAUGAAAGAAUAGGGGAUUCCAUCUGCGCCAGGAGCAGAAUCAGCUAGACCGUCUAAAGCGAGAAGAAGUUCAGAAAAAGAGAAAGGAUACUCUAAACUAUGAGUAGAGGCAAGAGGGCUUGGAGGGGAUGGAAAAUAGUCCAUGUUUGGAGCUGAAGGGGGGGACAUUCUAUCUGAAAAGUAUUCAAGCCAUAAAGAUGAAUCCACACUUAAAUCAUGCUCUUCAGCACAAAAUGAACCUCUAAAUUUUUUAAUUUGUUUCCAAACCAUUGAGGAUGAAGUGCUUGGAGACAAAUUUUGGCAAAAGUUAACCCAUCCUUGCUUUUUCUUUUUUUUUUUUAAAAAUAUGUAGCUUUAGCCGCA